GCUUAUUUUAGUCCGGUCAACGGAUGUCCCUGCGGACGGCAGUGAGGACAGAAACGGUUCGGUAGAAGUUUCUAGAAGCACCUGCCUGGUCGAUGCCAGGUGGUACUUCUGGUUUCAAUCCUUGAACAUUUUGGUGGUUUAAUAUAACGGAGGCUUGACCAGGUUCAACCAGAGGCCUUUCCUGUUCUGCUUCAUUUCUUACUGCAUCGGACUGAGUAUUUCAGAAGAUAACAAGGGAGAACCACUUUUAGGCUGUCAGCAUGGCACAUAUCCUAAAUAUGACACAUCUGAGAGCCUCAACUUUCUCAUAAUAAACUGUUGCUGGAACAAGAACCACCUUAUUAGGGCCUUCAACAUACUAAAUCACAGGAGCAUUAGCAAAUAUAAUGUGAAUAAUCAAGAUAAUGAGUGUCUAAUCAAAGUCCUCGUUAAAAGUCUAUAGCUGAAGUAGGAAAGAGAAUUCAAAGGUUAACGAGCUUUGUUCCUUCUAAUUGUUAUUUAAAGUGGGGCUCCAAGAUCCAUGUGCAACCUUGCUUUACAGAAGUCAAUACAUUGGCUCUGUUGAUGGGGUGAUUGAUUUGCUCAGCUGGACAAAUCUAGAACACUGGACCUGAAGAUAAGCCAUUCAGGGUUGACGUCAGGAAGCAUCUCCCUAUAUCAGAGUGAAAAGGUUAGUUAUUUUUUAAAAAACUGUCUGUUGAUGGAAUGAGAUAAAGGGAAUAUACAAACAUCCAUAGUUUUUUGAGUAGGAGUAGGUAAUUUUCCCCCUUGAGCCUGCCUCAUCAUUUACUAAGAUCAUAACUGAUCUAAUUGUCCUCAACACCACUUUCCUGUUUACACCCACACCCUUUAACAGCUUUGUCAGUCAGUAUGAAUUAAGAUGCCGUUCCUCAUUCUUGAAGUUCCUUUAGCUGUUUCAAGGAUACUAAUCAGCCAGUAUCCAAUUUUAUUUUGAAUUGUAGCCCCCCAACUACCAUUUUGUUCAACUCAUAUUCUCAGCUUCUGAGCUGGAGCCUCAGAUUCAACAGUUUAAUACUUUUGAGGUUAC